CUCCGGUUGAUCCUGCCAGACCCGACUGCUAUCGGAUUGAGAUUUAGCCAUGCGAGUCGAACGUUCCCCUGUUGCGGGGAGCGUGGCGUACGGCUCAGUAACACGUAGUCAACCUGCCCUGGAGACAAGGACAACCCCGGGAAACUGGGAUUAAUCCUUGAUAGGUCAUCUCAUCUGGAAGGAGAGAUGGCUUAAAGGGGUACGCGGGCUUCUUCCGCGAAUUCGCUCCAGGAUGGGACUGCGUCCGAUCAGGCUGUUGGCGGGGUAAUGGCCCACCAAACCUGUAACCGGUACGGGCCUUGAGAGAGGUGGCCCGGAGAUGGACACUGAGAGAAGGGUCCAGGUCCUACGGGGCGCAGCAGGCGCGAAACCUUCGCAAUGCGCGAAAGCGUGACGAGGUUAAUCCGAGUGACUCCCGCUGAGGGGGUCUUUUGUCAGCUGUAAAUAGGCAGGCGAAUAAGGGGAGGGCAAGCCUGGUGUCAGCCGCCGCGGUAAUACCAGCUCCUCGAGUGGUCGGGGCGAUUAUUGGGCCUAAAGCAUCCGUAGCCGGUUCCGUAGGUCCUCUGUUAAAUCCAACCGCUCAACGGUUGACCUGCAGAGGAUACCGCGGGACUAGGAGGCGGGAGAGGCGGACGGUACUCCGCGUGUAGGGGUAAAAUCCUUUGAUCCGCGGAAGACCACCAGUGGCGAAGGCGGUCCGCCAGAACGCGCUCGACGGUGAGGGAUGAAAGCUGGGGGAGCGAACCGGAUUAGAUACCCGGGUAGUCCCAGCUGUAAACGAUGCAGACUCGGUGAUGAGUUGGCUUCUUGCCAACUCAGUGCCGCAGGGAAGCCGUUAAGUUUGCCGCCUGGGGAGUGCGGUCGCAAGACUGAAACUUAAAGGAAUGGCCGGGGGAGCA
rnacentral:rRNA from 1 species